rnacentral:rRNA from 1 species
ACUUUGUCGGACAGACCUCUGGUGUGCGAGUUGUCCUGCCAAGGGCAAUGCUCGGUAGCUAUGUCUGGAACGGAUAAACGCUGAAAGCAUCUAAGCGUGAAGCCAGCUUCAAGAUGAAUUUUCCCCGAAGGCCCCCGGUAGACCACCGGGUUGAUAGGCUGGGUGUGUAAGACCCGCAAGGGUUUCAGCUAACCAGUACUAAUUGGCCGUUCGGCUUGAUCGC